rnacentral:sRNA from 1 species
GGGGCCCCGGUGGCCGAAUGGGUAAUGCGGCCACCUGGUAGCGCCUUGGCGUGGGGACCCAAGGCGCGUGGGUUCGAAACCCGCAGGGGACAACAUUACAUCCAGAGCUAACUUCUCAGCUCCUAAAAUAAUGAGAUGUGAACUUGCCAAGUAGGUACCUUCGGGCGGACCUACUACCUGAUUUAGCUGAUUUUUCCUGGGCUGGGAACCUGUAUCACAUGUACCAAUCCUGUCUUUCAUUAAUUUUCCUAUGUUCCUGUUAUAUUCUUGGCGUUGUUCAACACUAGCAUUCCUCCUGUAUAACCAACUCUUGCCUGUAUUUAACAUCACACAAGGACUCGUCAUAAGCACUGCUUGCAUACGAGUAUAACGGAAGAAUAAUAAUAAUACAUGCCCCAUUGGGGCCAUUAGAUAACCGAGUUAUUUUUCGAGGGGGGGGUCAUGUUAUAACGCG